rnacentral:rRNA from 1 species
AACGAACGUUAGCGGCGCGCUUAACACAUGCAAGUCGAGCGAGAAAGGGCUUCGGCCCCAGUACAGCGGCGCACGGGUGAGUAACACGUGGGUAAUCUACCCCUGAGUGGUGGAUAACCCUCCGAAAGGAGGGCUAAUACAGCAUAAGACCACGGCGUCCUCGGAUGUCGCGGCCAAAGCGGGCCUCUUCAUGAAAGCUCGUGCUCGGGGAUGAGCCCGCGGCCCAUCAGCUUGUUGGCGAGGUAAAAGCUCACCAAGGCAAAGACGGGUAGCUGGUCUGAGAGGAUGAACAGCCACACUGGAACUGAGACACGGUCCAGACUCCACGGGAGGCAGCAGUGGGGAAUCUUGCGCAAUGGGCGAAAGCCUGACGCAGCGACGCCGCGUGAGCG